rnacentral:rRNA from 1 species
UAGUCGGAGGUGUGUCUCGGACGGUCGGUUCGCCGCUUGUCGGUGCUCAACUGGCCGGUCCGGACGUCCUGCCGGUGGGGCCGUAAAAGGCCCCGUUAUCCUUCUUUGGUCCUCUUCACCGAGUGCCUUGGUGGGCCGGCACGUUUACUUUGAACAAAUUAGAGUGCUCAAAGCAGGCCGUUGGUCGCCUGAAUACCGUGUGCAUGGAAUAAUGGAAUAGGACCUCGGUUCCAUUUUGUUGGUUUUCAGAACUCGAGGUAAUGAUUAAUAGGGACGGACGGGGGCAUUCGUAUUGCGACGUUAGAGGUGAAAUUCUUGGAUCGUCGCAAGACGAACCGAUGCGAAAGCAUUUGCCAAGAACGUUUUCGUUGAUCAAGAACGAAAGUUAGAGGUUCGAAGGCGAUCAGAUACCGCCCUAGUUCUAACCAUAAACGAUGCCAGCUAGCCAUCCGCCGAAGUUCCUUCUAUGACUCGGCGGGCAGCUUCCGGGAAACCAAAGCUCUUGGGUUCCGGGGGAAGUAU